GUACACUCCUGCGGGAGGCAGCAGUGGGGAAUUUUGAACAAUGGGCGAAAGCCUGAUCCAGCAAUGCCGCGUGAGUGAAGAAGGCCUUCGGGUUGUAAAGCUCUUUUGUCAGGGAAGAAACGGUGAAAGCUAAUAUCUUUUGCUAAUGACGGUACCUGAAGAAUAAGCACCGGCUAACUACGUGCCAGCAGCCGCGGUAAUACGUAGGGUGCAAGCGUUAAUCGGAAUUACUGGGCGUAAAGCGUGCGCAGGCGGUUUUGUAAGUCUGAUGUGAAAUCCCCGGGCUCAACCUGGGAAUUGCAUUGGAGACUGCAAGGCUAGAAUCUGGCAGAGGGGGGUAGAAUUCCACGUGUAGCAGUGAAAUGCGUAGAUAUGUGGAGGAACACCGAUGGCGAAGGCAGCCCCCUGGGUCAAGAUUGACGCUCAUGCACGAAAGCGUGGGGAGCAAACAGGAUUAGAUACCCGAGUAGUCCCAUGAU
rnacentral:rRNA from 1 species